rnacentral:rRNA from 1 species
UACGGAGGGGGCAAGCGUUGUUCGGAAUUACUGGGCGUAAAGGGCUCGUAGGCGGCCAACUAAGUCAUACGUGAAAUCCCUCGGCUUAACCGGGGAACUGCGUCUGAUACUGGAUGGCUUGAGAUUGGGAGAGGGAUGCGGAAUUCCAGGUGUAGCGGUGAAAUGCGUAGAUAUCUGGAGGAACACCGGUGGCGAAGGCGGCAUCCUGGACCAACACUGACGUUCAGGCACGAAAGCGUGGGGAGCAAACAGG